rnacentral:rRNA from 1 species
UACGGAGGAUCCAAGCGUUAUCCGGAAUCAUUGGGUUUAAAGGGUCCGUAGGCGGUUUUAUAAGUCAGUGGUGAAAUCUGGUCGCUCAACGAUCAAACGGCCAUUGAUACUGUAGAACUUGAAUUACUUGGAAGUAACUAGAAUGUGUAGUGUAGCGGUGAAAUGCUUAGAGAUUACAUGGAAUACCAAUUGCGAAGGCAGGUUACUACGAGUAUAUUGACGCUGAUGGACGAAAGCGUGGGGAGCGAACAGG